UACGAAGGGGGCUAGCGUUGCUCGAAUUUACUGGGCGUAAAGGGCGCGUAGGCGGACAGUUUAGUCAGAGGUGAAAGCCCGGGGCUCAACCUCGGAAUUGCCUUUGAUACUGGCUGUCUUGAGUACGGGAGAGGUGUGUGGAACUCCGAGUGUAGAGGUGAAAUUCGUAGAUAUUCGGAAGAACACCAGUGGCGAAGGCGACACACUGGCCCGUUACUGACGCUGAGGCGCGAAAGCGUGGGGAGCGAACAGG
rnacentral:rRNA from 1 species